GAUGAACGCUGGCGGCGUGCCUAAUACAUGCAAGUCGAGCGAACAGACGAGGAGCUUGCUCCUCUGACGUUAGCGGCGGACGGGUGAGUAACACGUGGAUAACCUACCUAUAAGACUGGGAUAACUUCGGGAAACCGGAGCUAAUACCGGAUAACAUGUUGAACCGCAUGGUUCAACAGUGAAAGACGGUCUUGCUGUCACUUAUAGAUGGAUCCGCGCCGCAUUAGCUAGUUGGUAAGGUAACGGCUUACCAAGGCAACGAUGCGUAGCCGACCUGAGCGGGUGAUCGGCCACACGGGAACUGAGACACGGUCCAGACUCCUACGGGAGGCAGCAGUAGGGAAUCUUCCGCAAUGGGCGAAAGCCUGACGGAGCAACGCCGCGUGAGUGAUGAAGGUCUUCGGAUCGUAAAACUCUGUUAUUAGGGAAGAACAAAUGUGUAAGUAACUAUGCACGUCUUGACGGUACCUAAUCAGAAAGCCACGGCUAACUACGUG
rnacentral:rRNA from 1 species